ensembl:lincRNA
GGGGGCGGGGCGUUGCUGCUGGGAACCCGAGCCCGGCUCAGCUGCGGGGCCGGGGUGGGGGCGGAGCGUUGCCGCUGGAGGGGCGCGGGGAGGAGCCGAACAAAUUCGCAGGCCGGGGUGGGGGCGGGGCGAGCAGGAAGGCCUGGGACGCGCGUCUAACCCGGCAGUACCCGCCGCCUGGGUCCGGGCGGGCCCGGUAAGGGUCCUCGACCGCUGUGCCCAUGGGGCUGUGUUUUCCUUGCCCCGGGGAGGCUGAGCCUCCCUCGCCGGACCCGGCUGCAUCUCGGGGCAUUUUGAAUGUUCAAUCUGUGGAAGAAAAGAGAAAGAAAAAGGAAAGAUUAGAAAAACAAAUCACUACAACUGGACCCCCACCAGAAGGUGGACUUAGAUGGACAGUUUCAUAAAACAUAACAUGAGCGCAAGAGUCUACUACCAGUAACUUUAAUAUCUGCAAUCAAGUGGACCUUCUCAAUUUACUUUCUUUGAAUAAAAGAAGACUCAGACUGUAACUUUAGUGUCUAUAAACAUAGCACUAAAUCUAUAUAGAAAAUGUUGCAAAUGCUUUUGAUUUUCAAACUUAAUAAAUGGCCAGUCUUCUCAUUAAAUACUUAUUUUCCUGCAUUUGCUCUUCUGCAGGCAGUGAGUAUGUGCCAUCUUUCAGCAGUUAAAGCAUGGACCUAAAUGGCAAAUAUAUAUAUUAUCUGCAUGUAAAAACUAUGCAUAUAUCUGCGAUACUAAAAUUUUCAGUGAUAUCUUCUCUCCUUUAUAGAAUUGUUUAGCUAUUUGUAGUUGUGCUAUUUAGCCAUAUAUCUGUAUUUCCUUGUAUUUGAAGACUUUUGCUUAAAUUUAUAGAUGUAGUGCCUUUAAAACUGAUCACCAGAGAAAAUCUAGAAAAAUCAUUUAAAGGGCUUUUGUGAAAGAACACUGUAAAUUUUUAUAACUUGCUAAGUACUGAAUAUUUGUGGACAAAUGUUGAGUUUUUCUCCUAAUUUUUAUUGCUAUAACUUAUAAAAUUAACAUUGUGUUUUACGUUAUAAUGAAUGUUGUUGGUUUUUUUUUUAUAUAUAUAUUUUGCUCAUUUUAUUAUUAUAUAUUACUGGAACCAUCAGAUGGCAGUGAUUCUAGUCUAUAAAGAUCUUUGGAGCAGUUGGAUGAGUUAAAUUGAAAAUUUUUUUGUUAAAAUUUUUUAGUAUUUAUUAAAGAAUGAUUAUAGAAUUUAUACAGAUGUGAACUGCCAAGGAAACGAUAAGUGUAUGAGAAACAUAGGCAUUAUAUUUUAAAAUAUUUAAUUCCAAUAUUUAAUUCAAAAAAUAUUUAAUUCCAAUAUUAUGUAUUUCUAUGUAUAUAGUCAUAAACUUAGAUUUUCAUUCAUUAGAAACACAAAUUUUAUAGCAUUUUGUUUUGUGAGUUUUUAAAAAAAAUAAGGUAAAAUACAAGAAUUACUGCUUCUUUUGUUAAGCUAUUGUAGCUGCUCUUUUGAAUGGGAAGACCACAUAUUGAACCUUAAAUUAGAAUUUGAAGAUUGUAAAUGUUAAUAGAGACUAAGUUAAAUAGACCAGUUCACUUGAUUUUCAAAAAAGAAUCUGAGCCACCCUCUCACCGCUCCCUCCUACAAGACCUUUAUUACAUUGCAGUAUAUUGAAGAGUUUGAACUGUAAGAGACAAAGAUAUCUUGAUUCCUCAUGGAAAAACUACCUUUUCUAUCAAAGUAUGAGAUAUUCUAUGAAUAGCUAGAUGAGACAUAUUUAAGCUCAAUUUUCUUCAUCCUGUUAGAAGAUUAGUGGUAAUCUUGUUCAUAAAGGAUAUUUAAAUCACUGAAUUGUUUUUAGAAAUAAACAUUUUUGACUUUAUGAAGAUAUUUAACUUUUCCAAGGCAGAAAGGAAAAAGAAUCUUUAAUAGCUGAAAGGAUUUAGAACUAGAGCAGUCCAUCUUUGAGCUGUACAAAUCUUUCCUACUAUUUUAAUACAGUGAGAACAAUUUUACCUUAACUACAUUUUAAAGAAUAAGAACUUGGGUUAAUGGCCAGUGAAACCUCAGGGAUGCUUUCUUCUCUUUGAGAUGAAUAAGAACAGCGUUUAGGGCUUUUUGGUGUGUCCAUACAAUCUUUGAAUUUAUAGUUAGGCAUGUUUCUUUUACAGUACUCUAAAGGAGAAAUGAUUAUUAGUCUUCAGUUUUCUUAGAGAACAAUAGUAAAAGUUUACAUCCAGGAGAUAAUGUCCUAUUUGUAAUAGCAUAUACCCAAAUGCUCUGCUUAUCUACUAUUGAACCAGGAAUGAUAUGUUGAUAGGUUGCUUUCUGGUAAUAAUGGGCUGUGAUUACUCCAGCCAGACAGGGCCUACCUUCAGGGGUAUGAUCAGCUUUUCCCAAAAUCACGUGGGUUCCAUGGACUAGGGUGGAAAGCUAAAUGUUUGAAUACUGUUAGGAAAAG